CGAGUAUCAUCGGUGCCCUUGAUAUGCACUAUUGCAAUGAUGACUUUGCUUGUGCAAACAUCCUAGGAGAGUAAAUCCAUGUGUGUCGAAUGUUUUUCAGAUUUGGCGAGGCGGGCUGCUGCUGAUUCAAGCUCGGCGCCUGAAGGUCGGUGGUAAUGAAGAAGAAGAAGAUCAUGAAGAAGAAGAAGAGCAAUAAGGAUGUGUUGGCCUGCUGCGGCCAUGUCAUGUGUUAAUUUGUCUCGACUUGGAUUAGAUGGGUCGGUCGAUGGGGUGUUGCAUUGUUUUGCUUUGGACGCCUCGUGUCUUGUGAUGGGCGUGCUUGUAGUAUGAACUGCUAAGUGUUAUGUAGUUCCUUUCCGGUUGAAUUGGUAUUCCCUGUCGAGGACGAAAUGAAAAUUUGGUUGCCCUCAUUUGGCCGUGGAGCUUAUCUCAGUGUUUAUUUUACCAGCUUGUCGUGGCUAGUUCUGUGUUUAUUCUUUUGAUCUCCACGCAAGAUCAAAAGAAUAUAGCAUCGAUCGAGGCAUAAGC
rnacentral:lncRNA from 1 species